rfam:Fonticula alba strain ATCC 38817 unplaced genomic scaffold supercont2.7, whole genome shotgun sequence.
AUCGGUGUAGCUCAGUUGGUUAGAGCACGGUGCUUAUACGAACUUACUGGUCGUAUGCCUUUGGGACCCUACCCGGUCUCUUCUAAGCAACGCUGUGGUCGAGGGUUCGAUCCCCUCCACCGGUA